rnacentral:rRNA from 1 species
UGGGGAAUAUUGCACAAUGGGCGCAAGCCUGAUGCAGCCAUGCCGCGUGUGUGAAGAAGGCCUUCGGGUUGUAAAGCACUUUCAGCGGGGAGGAAGGCGUUAAGGUUAAUAACCUUGGCGAUUGACGUUACCCGCAGAAGAAGCACCGGCUAACUCCGUGCCAGCAGCCGCGGUAAUACGGAGGGUGCAAGCGUUAAUCGGAAUUACUGGGCGUAAAGCGCACGCAGGCGGUCUGUCAAGUCGGAUGUGAAAUCCCCGGGCUCAACCUGGGAACUGCAUUCGAAACUGGCAGGCUAGAGUCUUGUAGAGGGGGGUAGAAUUCCAGGUGUAGCGGUGAAAUGCGUAGAGAUCUGGGGGAAUACCGGUGGCGAAGGCGGCCCCCUGGACAAAGACUGACGCUCAGGUGCGAAAGCGUGGGGAGCAAACAGG